GAUGAACGCUAGCUACAGGCUUAACACAUGCAAGUCGAGGGGAAACGAUAUUGGAAGCUUGCUUCCGAUAGGCGUCGACCGGCGCACGGGUGAGUAACGCGUAUCCAACCUGCCCACCACUUGGGGAUAACCUUGCGAAAGUAAGACUAAUACCCAAUGAUGUCCAUAGAAGACAUCUGAAAUGGAUUAAAGAUUUAUCGGUGAUGGAUGGGGAUGCGUCUGAUUAGCUUGUUGGCGGGGUAACGGCCCACCAAGGCGACGAUCAGUAGGGGUUCUGAGAGGAAGGUCCCCCACAUUGGAACUGAGACACGGUCCAAACUCCUACGGGAGGCAGCAGUGAGGAAUAUUGGUCAAUGGGCAAGAGCCUGAACCAGCCAAGUAGCGUGCAGGAUGACGGCCCUAUGGGUUGUAAACUGUUUUUAUAAGGGAAUAAAGUGAGCCUCGUGAGGCUUUUUGCAUGUACCUUAUGAAUAAGGACCGGCUAAUUCCGUGCCAGCCGCCGCAGUAA
rnacentral:rRNA from 1 species